rnacentral:rRNA from 1 species
CGUACUUUUUGUAGAACGGGCCAACGAGUUACGUUAAGUAGCAAGGUUAAGCACUUAAGGUGCGGAGCCGUAGCGAAAGCGAGUUUUAACUGAGCGUUCAGUUACUUGACGUAGACCCGAAACCGGGCGACCUACCCAUGAGCAGGAUGAAGCGAAAGUAAAAUUUCGUGGAGGUCCGAACCCACGAGCGUUGAAAAGCUCGGGGAUGACUUGUGGGUAGCGGUGAAAUUCCAAUCGAGCCCGGAGAUAGCUGGUUCUCCCCGAAAUAGCUUUAGGGCUAGCCUCAAGGUGAGAGAUACGGAGGUAGAGCACUGAAUGUCCUAGGGGGUAUUGCACCUACCGAAGACUAUCAAACUCCGAAUGCCGUCAUCUUAUACUUGGGAGUCAGACUGUGGGUGAUAAGAUUCAUAGUCGAAAGGGCAACAGCCCAGAUCGUCAGCUAAGGUCCCUAAAUGUAAGUUAAGUGGUAAAGGAUGUGGGAUUGCACAGACAACCAGGAUGUUGGCUUAGAAGCAGCCACUCAUUCAAAGAGUGCGUAAUAGCUCACUGGUCGAGUGAUCCUGCGCCGAAGAUUUCCGGGGCUAAAACUUACUACCGAAGCUACGGCAUCAGUAAUGAUGGGUAGGGGAGCUUCCCAUACGGGUUGAAGCAUGACCGUAAGGACAUGUGGACAGUAUGGGAGUGAGAAUGUUGGCAUGAGUAGCGAGAUGUGGGUGAGAAUCCCACAGGCCGUAAACCCAAGGUUUCCAGGGGAAGGUUCGUCCGCCCUGGGUUAGUCGGGACCUAAGCUGAGGCCGAAAGGCGUAGGUGAUGGACAACAGGUUGAUAUUCCUGUACUACCGAUAACCGUUUGAGAGAAGGGAUGACACAGUAGGAUAAGCUAAGCACACUGUUGGUUAUGUGUGCCCAAGCAUUGAGGCAGUCAAAGUAGGCAAAUCCGCUUUGAUAAUGCUGGGAUGUGAUGGGGAGCGAAAUUUAGUAGCGAAGUAGCUGAUUUCACACUGUCAAGAAAAGUCUCUAUCGAGGUUAAAGGUACCCGUACCGCAAACCGACACAGGUGGGUGAGGAGAGUAUCCUAAGGCCAGCGAGAGAACUGUUGUUAAGGAACUC